CCUAAAAGACCCGUUGGCGAUGGACGUCUGCUGAGCGCGCGAGGCAGCCCGUGCUUUUCCGAGUCGCUCUUCCGGGCUCUGUGCGGUGGUCGGCAUGGCCCGUGGAAAUCAACGAGAACUUGCCCGCCAGAAAAACAUGAAGAAAUCCCAGGAAAUUAGCAAGGGAAAAAGAAAAGAUGAUAGUUUGACUGCCUCUCAGAGAAAACAGAGAGACUCUGAGAUCAUGCAACAAAAGCAGAAAGCAGCUGAUGAGAAGAAAUCUAUGCAGACAAGAGAAAAAUGAUGACUGACAAUUUGGAAAACCUGGGUACUACUGCCAACUAGGUGUAUUAUAAGCUCUAUGAUCAAGAUUUUGUAGAGUGAACAGUCAUUACAUGUUACAACAUAUCUUUAUAAAAACUAUUUUAAACUUUACCUUUCAGUCUGACUUAGUGUAAUGUUUCAGAACCGUUCUUCAAAGAAUAAAACACUAACCAUGCAUGUGACAUGUUGGUGAACAUUAUUUUUUAUCAGCAGUGAGCACAUAUAUAACUAGAGAGAUAAUGUGAUCAGAUAAUAGGAGUUCUUAUAUAAAUCUACAAUCUUUGUCUUAAAACUUUGUUAAGGUAGGUUUUUAAAGUCAACUUUAUUAUAUAAUAGAAUUUAGGAUUUUGCUUUAUAAUCAACUGGUGUGCUUGAAGAAUUUACAAUAUAGUACAAAUGACCUGGAACUAAAUGACCAUAAACUAAAUGGGUCUCAGUACUAGUAAGAGUUUUACUUUAGAGCUUUAACAUUUUUUAAAUAAGUGCCUUUAAAAAAUAACAAUAAUAAUUUUUUCUAGCAGAAUUAGUUUUACAACAAAAUUGAGAUUUCCCAUAUGCCCCCUGCCCCUACAUAUAUCCCCUGCAUAGUCUCCCCCAUUAUGAAUAUUCCCCCACCAGAGUGGUACAUUUGUUGUAAUUGAUGAACCUUCAUUAACACAGCAUUAUCACACAAGUACAUAAUUUACAUUAGGAUUCACCUUUUAUGUUGUAAGAGUGUGUUCUUUUUUUCUUCUAAUUCUCACCGAGGACAUGAUUAGAGAGAGAGGGAGAGAGAGAAACAUAGAUCAGUUGCUUUCCAUAUGUGCCCCAGGGAUCAAACCCAUAACCCAGGUAUGUGUCCUGACUGGGAAUCAAACCGAUACCUUUCCGUGCACAGGGUGAUGCUCAAUCAACUGAGCCACUCCAGCUGGACAACAGUGCCAGUUUUUCAGUCUGUUCUGAGACUCAAAAAACUUGUGACUUUCCCUGGCCAUUGUGCUCAGUGGUUGGAGUGAUGGCCCUCACCAAAGGGUUGUGGGUUCUAUCCCCAACCUAGGUCAGGUGCGUGCCAGCGGCAACCAAUCAUUGUAUCUCUCUCACAUCAAUGUUUCUCUCUCUCCCUCCAUUCAAUUCUGUCUAAAAAGCAAUGGAAAAAUAUCCUCUGGUGAGAAUUAACAAAACAAAACAA